AGUGAACGCUGGCGGCAGGCCUAAUACAUGCAAGUCGAACGGCAGCACAGCAGAGCUUGCUCUGUGGGUGGCGAGUGGCGGACGGGUGAGGAAUACAUGGGAAUCUGCCCAGUCGUGGGGGAUAACGUAGGGAAACUUACGCUAAUACCGCAUGCGCCCUUCGGGGGAAAGCCGGGGACCUUCGGGCCUGGCGCGAUUGGAUGAGCCCAUGUCGGAUUAGCUAGUUGGCGGGGUAAUGGCCCACCAAGGCGACGAUCCGUAGCUGGUCUGAGAGGAUGAUCAGCCACACUGGAACUGAAACACGGUCCAUACACCUACGGGUGGCAGCAGUAGGGAAUAUUAGUAAUGGGCGAAAGCCUGAACUAGCAACGCCGCGUGUGCGAAGAAGGCCUUCGGGUUGUAAAGCACUUUUUGAGAGGAUGAGGAAGGACGGUACUCUCAGAAUAAGUCUCGGCUAACUACGUGCCAGCAGCCGCGGUAACACGUAGGAGGCAAACGUUAUCCGGAUUUACUGGGCGUAAAGCGCGUGUAGGUGGUUUGGUAAGUAGGGCGUGAAAGCUCUUGGCUCAACUGGGAGAGGACGUUCUAAACUGCCAAGCUUGAGGAUGGUAGAGGGAGGUGGAAUUCCGGGUGUAGCGGUGGAAUGCGCAGAUAUCCGGAGGAACACCAGUGGCNAAGGCGGCCUCCUGGACCACUCCUGACACUCAGACGCGAAAGCUAGGGUAGCAAACGGGAUUAGAGACCCCGGUAGUCCUAGCCCUAAACGAUGUAGACNNNGCGUCGGUGGUUUAAUCGCCAUCGGUGUCGUAGCUAACGCGUUAAGUCUACCGCCUGGGGACUACGGCCGCAAGGUUAAAACUCAUAGGAAUUGACGGGUCCCCGCACAAGCAGCGGAGCGUGUGGUUUAAUUCGAUGCUACACGAAGAACCUUACCUGGGUUUGACGUAGAGGUAGUAGGGAAGCGAAAGCGGACCGACCCUUCGGGGAGCCUCUACAGGUGUUGCAUGGCUGUCGUCAGCUCGUGUCGUGAGAUGUUCGGUUAAGUCCGCUAACGAGCGCAACCCUCGCUGUGUGUUACAAGUGUCACACGGUACUGCCGAUAUUAAGUCGGAGGAAGGUGGGGAUGACGUCAAGUCAGCAUGACCUUUAUAUCCAGGGCUACACACACGCUACAAUGGCCAGUACAAUGGGUUGCCAAGCCGCGAGGCGGAGCCAAUCCUAAAAAGCUGGCCUCAGUUCAGAUUGCAGUCUGCAACUCGACUGCAUGAAGUUGGAGUUGCUAGUAACCGCAGGUCAGCAAUACUGCGGUGAAUACGUUCCCGGGGAU
rnacentral:rRNA from 1 species